rnacentral:rRNA from 1 species
CGCUGUCCUUGGGGAAGAAAAUCCUUAACAGGAAAUGGUUAAGGAGGAGACGGUACCCGGGGAGGAAGCCCUGGCUAACUACGUGCCAGCAGCCGCGGUAACACGUAGAGGGCAAGCGUUGUCCGGAAUUACUGGGCGUAAAGGGUAGGCAGGUGGGAGGAAAAGUCAAAUGUGAAAGGUAUCGGCUUAACCGAUAGACAGCAGUUGAAACUAUGCUUCUUGAGGGCAGGAGAGGAGAGCGGAAUUUCUGGUGUAGCGGUGGAAUGCGUAGAUAUCAGGAAGAACACCGGUGGCGAAGGCGGCUCUCUGGCCUGCAACUGACGCUGAGCUACGAAAGCUGGGGGAGCAAACGGGAUUAGAUACCCCGGUAGUCCCAGCUGUAAACGAUGGACACUAGGUGUUGGUGGUUCGAAUCCAUCAGUGCCGGAGUUAACGCGAUAAGUGACCCGC